rnacentral:rRNA from 1 species
UACAGAGGUCUCAAGCGUUGUUCGGAUUCAUUGGGCGUAAAGGGCGCGUAGGCGGCGCGGCAAGUCGGGUGUGAAAUCUUGGAGCUUAACUGCGAAACUGCAUUCGAUACUGCCGUGCUUGAGGACUGGAGAGGAGACUGGAAUUUACGGUGUAGCGGUGAAAUGCGUAGAUAUCGUAAGGAAGACCAGUGGCGAAGGCGGGUCUCUGGACAGUUCCUGACGCUGAAGCACGAAGGCCAGGGGAGCAAACGGG